rnacentral:rRNA from 1 species
ACUAAAUAGAUACCCAGGUAGUCCACGCCGUAAACGAUGAUCACUCGCUGUUGGCGAUACACAGUCAGCGGCUAAAGCAAAAGCAUUAAGUGAUCCACCUGGGGAGUACGGCCGCAAGGCUGAAACUCAAAGGAAUUGACGGGGCCCGGCCACAAGCGGAGGAACGAAUGUGGUUUAAGUUUACGUAUGAUACGCGAGGAACCGUUACCCUGGGCGUUAAAUAGUAGAGUGCAUUGGUUGAGAAAUACAUCAUUUUCUUUCGGAACGUCUCUGCAAGGUGCUGCAUGGUUUGUCGUCGGCUCGUGCCGUGAGGUGUCGGGUUAAGUCCCAUAACGAGCGCAACCCUUAUCGUUAGUUGCCAGCGGGUAAGUGCCGGGGACGUCUAGCGAAACUGCCGGUGUAAACCGAGAGGAAGGUGGGGAUGACGUCAAAUCAGCACGGCCCUUAUGUCCAGGGCUACACACGUGUUACAAUGGCCGGUACAGAGGGCAGCUACCUGGAGACAGGAUGCGAAUCUCGAAAGCCGGUCUCAGUUCGGAUCGGAGU